GGAGCAGUCGCGGCUGAAUGGUUACGAUGUUCGCAUUGUAAGCGAAUGGUCCUGGGUUCGAUUCCCAUCUGCUCCC
rnacentral:tRNA from 1 species